UGGGUUGUAGUUCAGUAGCAGAGCACCUGCUCUGCACACAGAAGAUUCUGGGUUCAAUCCCUGGCAACUUCA